rnacentral:rRNA from 1 species
UACCAGCACCCCGAGUGGUCGGGACGUUUAUUGGGCCUAAAGCAUCCGUAGCCGGUUCUACAAGUCUUCCGUUAAAUCCACCUGCUUAACAGAUGGGCUGCGGAAGAUACUAUAGAGCUAGGAGGCGGGAGAGGCAAGCGGUACUCGAUGGGUAGGGGUAAAAUCCGUUGAUCCAUUGAAGACCACCGGUGGCGAAGGCGGCAUCCUGGACCGGUAUUGACGCUGAGGCGCGAAAGCUAGGGGAGCAAACGGG